rnacentral:other from 1 species
ACAACCCUGCUAUGUUUGUGUCAGCCGUAUAAAGUUUUGAGCUAACACCUUUAAAUAGGGAGUUCGGACUCUGUAUGUUGCGCAUAUGCCUCUCGUCUUCAGAGGACAUGUAAAAUAUGCAGGCGAACACCCACCUGUGGAGAGAGCAGUUCAAAACUAGGCGGUAAUCACGGCAUGGUGGGGUUUUG